GACCUUGUAGCGCAAUAGGCAGAGCGUCUGACUCCAGUUCAGAAGGUUACGUGUUUGAGCCACGUCAAGGUCA
rnacentral:tRNA from 2 species